CGUAGGUGAACCUGCGGAAGGAUCAUUAUUGAAUAAACCUGCAGGCUGUUUUUGCUGGCCCUCCCACCAGGGGGGGCAUGUGCACGCUUGUCAUCUUUAUUUCUUCCACUGUGCACAUAUUGUAGACCUGGUAAAUUUUGUUGGGAUUGUUUGAGUGAAAAUCAAACAGAUUGAGGACUGCUGUGGCUUCAGCUUUGCCUUGUAUUUCCAGGUCUAUGUUAUUUUAUAAACCCAUCUUGUAUUGAGAAUGUUGGAAUUGGGUCUUUUGUACCUAUAAAGUUUAAUAUACAACUUUCAGCAACGGAUCUCUUGGCUCUCGCAUCGAUGAAGAACGCAGCGAAAUGCGAUAAGUAAUGUGAAUUGCAGAAUUCAGUGAAUCAUCGAAUCUUUGAACGCAUCUUGCGCUCCUUGGUAUUCCGAGGAGCAUGCCUGUUUGAGUGUCAUUAAGCUCUCAACUGCAACUAGUUUUAUUCUAGCUGUAGCUUGGAUGUGGGGGUUUUUUUUCUUUGCAGGCUUCAGAUAUAAUUGAAGUCGGCUCCCCUAAAAUGUAUUAGUGGUCUCUGAGCAGAGAAAACGGUGUGAUAAUUAUCUAUGCCUUAGUACUUUGCAUGAACUGCUUCAUCAUAAUGUUUGACAAAUU
rnacentral:rRNA from 1 species